CUUGAUCGAGCCGAGCCAGAGCGGCGCGUCGAUGCGGUCCUGGCCGUAGGUGGCCAGCAGCGCCUGCGCCUC
rnacentral:antisense_RNA from 1 species